rnacentral:rRNA from 1 species
GACGAACGCUGGCGGCGUGCCUAAUACAUGCAAGUAGAACGCUGAAGGAGGAGCUUGCUUCUCUGGAUGAGUUGCGAACGGGUGAGUAACGCGUAGGUAACCUGCCUGGUAGCGGGGGAUAACUAUUGGAAACGAUAGCUAAUACCGCAUAAGAGUAGAUGUCGUAUGACAUUUGCUUAAAAGGUGCAAUUGCAUCACUACCAGAUGGACCUGCGUUGUAUUAGCUAGUUGGUGAGGUAACGGCUCACCAAGGCAACGAUACAUAGCCGACCUGAGAGGGUGAUCGGCCACACUGGGACUGAGACACGGCCCAGACUCCUACGGGAGGCAGCAGUAGGGAAUCUUCGGCAAUGGACGGAAGUCUGACCGAGCAACGCCGCGUGAGUGAAGAAGGUUUUCGGAUCGUAAAGCUCUGUUGUAAGAGAAGAACGAGUGUGAGAGUGGAAAGUUCACACUGUGACGGUAUCUUACCAGAAAGGGACGGCUAACUACGUG